AAAAAGGACCCGGAAACGUGGCCAAAUGACGUACCCACAUCCCCUUCGAAAUCCAAGCUGUGCGAUAAUUAACUGUAAUAAGGCUACGUUGCAAACUGUGUAGAGAUUGGAUUAAGCGGGAAAAUGGCUAUUUCCACUAUCAGGCCUUGUAUUUCUCUUUCUCAACACUUACUCUAUUCAACUAGUAAUUCAUUCAAUUCCCAAAAAAUUAGCUCAAUUUCUGUCAGAAAGAAACAAAGCUUUGUUCACUGUGCUUCACUGGAUUCUGCUCCUACCAGGCAAGAGGUGUCAUUAAGUGUUGGAACGUACCUAAUUCCACAUCCCAACAAGGUUGAUAAAGGUGGAGAAGAUGCAUUCUUUGUGAGCAGUAAUGAUGGGGAAGUGAUUGCUGUUGCUGAUGGUGUUUCCGGUUGGGCUGAAAAGAACGUGGAUCCUGCACUGUUCUCCAGAGAAUUGGUGUCUAAUGUUUCUUCUUUGGCGAGGAAUGCGGAGGUCAAUUAUGAUCCUCGGAUUCUCAUAAAGGGAGCCCAUGCUGCUACAUCAUCUAUCGGUUCAGCUACGGUAAUUGUUUCUACACUCGAGGACGGAAUUCUGAAGAUAGCCAGUGUUGGGGAUUGUGGACUACGGGUCAUUCGUAAAGGUCAGAUGAUUUUCUCCACAUUUCCACUAGAACACUAUUUUGACUGCCCAUACCAGUUGAGCUCAGAGGCUGUUACUCAAACGUACCUUGAUGCCAUAGUUAGCACAGUGGAUUUGCAAAUAGGAGAUACAAUCAUAAUGGGCUCAGAUGGCCUCUUUGAUAAUGUUUUCGAUCAAGAGAUCGUUUCAGUUGUGACCACAAAUGAUGAUGUCUCUAAUGCUGCAAAGGCAUUAGCUGACUUGGCGCGCAACCACUCUGUGGAUACCAAAUUCGACUCCCCCUAUUCACUGGAGGCUAGAGCAAGGAGUUUGAUGUUCCUUGGUGGAAGAAAGUUUUUGGAAUGAAGUUAACAGGAGGAAAGCUCGAUGAUAUUAUAUUCAUUGUUGGAAAGGUGAAAAGCUCGUGAGCAAGCUGGCCUGGAAACCACCGAUAAAUAGUCUCGCGAACAAGUCAUAUAUCUUUGGUGCCAAGACUUUGGAGGGUCCCCUCUCCUGAAUCCUUGGGCAAUUGGAUGGUCUUUUUACUAUGAGUCGAAGGAUGAGUUGAUAACAUACAAUGCUAUUGCACAGGAUGCCUACUACCUAUACCUAACACAUGUACCAGGUAACUCUGUCCCAAAAAUGGGACAGAUGGGAAUAAAUCACAGCGUUUUCGCCUCCUGUUCGAAUUUAAAAAUGAACCAAAAGACUUCUAGGGACAUGCCAAAUAUUUUUUGCAGUUGCUUCUACCAAAAGUGCAAAAAGGCUUAUCAGCCUCUAUAUUUUAUAGGUGUAGCAAUUUUGGCAAGGCAGUAAAAUCGAGUGGCUGCCAUUCAGUAGGGGUAUUAAAGAGAAAAUUGAAAAUAUUUGUUGUUCAAUAUAUCGGUCGUUCAAGAAGUUUGACUCGUUGCUCCUCCGACCCAAAGGUGAACAUAAAUGCAUCUGCAAUUACAUCCUGAGAAAUGGAAUUUAGACUACUGUAGGAUAAGACAAGUUCAUACUACCCCUUAUUUUUCAACCUUUGGUCUUGCACUAUGAACCUAGCAAUAGAAUAUAUUUGUGAGAGAAUCUGUAAUUAAUUCUAAGCAAUAAAAGAAGAGUACAUUUGCAGCAACAAACUA